UGACCACGGAGGGUCCAACUGAUGGGACCCCUGUGAUCUCCUGUACGGGACUACUGCUUCUUAUGCAUCCUUGUCCCCACCUUCCUCGACGGAUGCAAGUGACUGCUUGUUCAGCCAAUCCCCAGCUAAAAUGCUCCUCCUCAACAUUCAUACUGCAGGGAGCCAGAUGCGAACCUUCUUCCAUCCCUUUCUCAAUCAUCACUACGAGCAUUUGCUUAAGAGAUAUUGAUGACCAAUAUCAUUAUCCAUGGCUUCCAUCAUCCAUGGCUUUCCUGUAAUGGAUGUAUCUAUUCAACAUACAGACCCGAUAAGUUGCUUUGUCUUAUACACAACAAACAAAGG